AUUGAACGCUGGCGGCAGGCCUAACACAUGCAAGUCGAGCGGAUGAAGGGAGCUUGCUCCUGGAUUCAGCGGCGGACGGGUGAGUAAUGCCUAGGAAUCUGCCUGGUAGUGGGGGAUAACGUCCGGAAACGGGCGCUAAUACCGCAUGCGUCCUGAGGGAGAAAGUGGGGGAUCUUCGGACCUCACGCUAUCAGAUGAGCCUAGGUCGGAUUAGCUAGUUGGUGGGGUAAAGGCCUACCAAGGCGACGAUCCGUAACUGGUCUGAGAGGAUGAUCAGUCACACUGGAACUGAGACACGGUCCAGACUCCUACGGGAGGCAGCAGUGGGGAAUAUUGGACAAUGGGCGAAAGCCUGAUCCAGCCAUGCCGCGUGUGUGAAGAAGGUCUUCGGAUUGUAAAGCACUUUAAGUUGGGAGGAAGGGCAGUAAGUUAAUACCUUGCUGUUUUGACGGUACCAACAGAAUAAGCACCGGCUAACUUCGUG
rnacentral:rRNA from 1 species